CUUUUGUCACUACUUGGCCAAAUGCCACACCGUAUGUUGGUAAAUGUAAACUGAAAUUCAGAGUUACUCUGAUCUCUGAAGCCUUCUGAAGCUGUGUCUGAAGAAAUAGUGUUUGAGUGAUUCAGAGAUGGGGAUUCUUUGUGUUCAUUUUGUUUUACAGCUAUCUUCAUGUAGAAUGAAGUGGAGUAGCAAGGACAGAUUUUUGGAAGGUAUCUGCAACAGAAAUUUUAUUAGAUUUUUCAGUUAAUUGCAUAUGUCCUCAUCCUUGAAAAAAUGACACCCUGUGUCAUAGAAAACAUGAUUGAAUCCUGAACACCAGUAGCAGACCUUGAAAACCCUGGAAGAGGGCCAUCAAACCUGCUUCAAAGGACAACCUCUGUAACAGCACCCCAGAACUGGGAGAAAGCUUUGUUAACAGCUGAUCUCAACAUUUUUUUACUACUCUGUCAGAGACUGUCUCUAGUCAUACCUGGAAAAUCAUGGCUGAAAACAGAUCUUGCUCUCUGUGAAUGGACAGUUCAGCAUAUCGCCUCUCCUGGGUACGGGGGUGAGAGUCUACCACCUAUGCCUAUGGUCUCUCUGCUUCACAAGCACACCCGGUACCUUAUGGCCCAGGCCAAGAAGGAUUUAAAUAGGACCACAGGAAUUAUGAACAGGAUUCUUAGCUCAAAAUCAGGCAUCCAGCUCUGACAUGUUCAAUGUAGGCUGCCACAAGAUGUUUUACAAAAUGUUUCUGGACCAUCAUUAAGCAAAAAACUUGUUUAAGUGUUACUCCCUUUGAAUGAAAAUGACUUACCACUGGCAGGUUUGAUACAACUGCUUUACAAAUCAACCAAGGGACUGACAGGCACAUUUAUGUGAGAAAUAUAUAUGGAGUUAGAGCACAAUACUCUUAGUGGCAUUUGCUGGGGAAAUUUUUGUCUGCAAAUUGACUUUAAAAAACAAAAACAAAAGCAAAACACCCUUAUUUAAAUUAACUAUCAAAAAUAAUGAAUUCCUGGAGGUGCUAGUUUCCUACCUCCAAGCUGCGUGUCCUGGUGAGCAGGGC
rnacentral:lncRNA from 1 species